rnacentral:rRNA from 1 species
GACGAACGCUGGCGGCGUGCCUAAUACAUGCAAGUAGAACGCUGAAGGGGGAGCUUGCUCUUCUGGAUGAGUUGCGAACGGGUGAGUAACGCGUAGGUAACCUGCCUGGUAGUGGGGGAUAACUAUUGGAAACGAUAGCUAAUACCGCAUAAUAACAGUUGUUGCAUGACAACUGUUUGAAAGGUGCAAUUGCAUCACUACCAGAUGGACCUGCGUUGUAUUAGCUAGUUGGUGGGGUAACGGCUCACCAAGGCGACGAUACAUAGCCGACCUGAGAGGGUGAUCGGCCACACUGGGACUGAGACACGGCCCAGACUCCUACGGGAGGCAGCAGUAGGGAAUCUUCGGCAAUGGACGAAAGUCUGACCGAGCAACGCCGCGUGAGUGAAGAAGGUUUUCGGAUCGUAAAGCUCUGUUGUAAGAGAAGAACGAGUGUGAGAGUGGAAAGUUCACACUGUGACGGUAUCUUACCAGAAAGGGACGGCUAACUACGUG